rnacentral:rRNA from 1 species
AUACGGGGGGGGCGAGCGUUGUCCGGAAUUAUUGGGCGUAAAGCGCGCGUAGGCGGUUACUUAAGUCAGAUGUGAAAGCCCCGGGCUCAACCUGGGAACGGCAUUUGAAACUGAGUGACUUGAGUAUAGUAGAGGAGAGUGGAAUUCCACAUGUAGCGGUGAAAUGCGUAGAUAUGUGGAGGAACAUCAGUGGCGAAGGCGACUCUCUGGCCUAAUACUGACGCUGAGGUGCGAAAGCGUGGGGAGCAAACAGGAUUAGAUACCCCAGUAGUCC